rnacentral:lncRNA from 1 species
GAAUCUUCAAGAGAUUCAAGAACUUUGUGGAGAACCAAAGUGGUCGCAAAAUAAAGAAACUGAGAAGCGAUCGAGGUACCGAAUACAACUCAAAAGAGUUCGACAAGUUCUGUGAAGAUGAAGGUGUGGAGCAUCAACUAACCGUGGCCUACACUCCACAACAAAAUGGCGUGUCGGAAAGAAGAAUCGAACAGUCAUGGAGAUGGCGAGAUCCAUGCUGGCGGAGAAAGGAUUACCAAAGAAGUUUUGGGCAGAGGCAGUGUAUACAUCAGUCUACCUACUCAACCGAUGUCCAACAAAGGCCGUGCUAAACAAGACGCCGAUCGAAGCUUGGUCAGGACAAAAGCCUUCAGCCAAACAUUUGAGGGUCUUUGGAAGUAUCUGCUACAUCCACAUUCCCUCAGUAAAAAGACACAAACUGGAGGACAAGAAGGAGAAGGGAAUCUUCCUCGGCUACAGCUCUAAAUCCAAGGGUUAUAGAAUCUACAAUCUUCAGACCAAGAAGCUGGUGACAAGUCGAGACGUGGAAUUUGACGAACAAGCCUCCUGGAAUUGGGAGACAGAAAGUGUUGAAAGGCAGACAACAACUACACUCCUAAAAGAAGUCACAGAACAUGGAGAACAAGAUCAACAAAGCCCACCAAGGUCCUCUCCUCAAGUGGAUCCGACUCAGACUCCUCACCAGACUUUCCACCUUUUCGGGUAAGAACUCUANUUACGACAAGAAAAUAACCAAGAUAUUGCAGUAGUAAAAAUGGGAAAAAAUAGAAACUUUCCCAUUCAAUGGCAAUAUCCACAAAAGGCAAUGGUGGCUCAACUCGACGAUACGAGUCUAUGGCACCGGAGAUUUGGGCAUUUCAACCUAAAUGCCUUGAGGCUACUUCAUCAGAAAAAUAUGAUGAGAGACAUGCCUCUUCUAAAUGAAAGAGAAGGUGUAUGCGAAGGAUGCAUGAUCGGAAAGCAACACAGACAACCAUUUCCAACGGAGAAAACAUGGCGAGCCAAGGAGAUACUAGAGCUUGUCCACACCGACGUUUGCGGUCCAAUGCGCACACCUUCAGUAAACCAAAACAGGUACUUCAUACUCUUUAUUGAUGACUACUCUAGAAUGACUUGGGUAUAUUUUCUCCAAGAAAAAUCAGAAGUCUUUAGAAUCUUCAAGAGAUUCAAGAACUUUGUGGAGAACCAAAGUGGUCGCAAAAUAAAGAAACUGAGAAGCGAUCGAGGUACCGAAUACAACUCAAAAGAGUUCGACAAGUUCUGUGAAGAUGAAGGUGUGGAGCAUCAACUAACGGUGGCCUACACUCCACAACAAAACGGCGUGUCGGAAAGAAAGAAUCGAACAGUCAUGGAGAUGGCGAGAUCCAUGCUGGCAGAGAAAGGAUUGCCAAAGAAGUUCUGGGCGGAGGCAGUAUAUACAUCGGUCUACCUACUCAACCGAUGUCCAACAAAGGCCGUGCUAAACAAGACGCCGAUCGAAGCUUGGUCAGGGCAAAAGCCUUCAGCCAAACAUUUGAGGGUCUUUGGAAGUAUCUGCUACAUCCACAUUCCCUCAGUAAAAAGACACAAACUGGAGGACAAGACGGAGAAGGGAAUCUUCCUCGGCUACAGCUCUAAAUCCAAGGGUUAUAGAAUCUACAAUCUUGAGACCAAGAAGCUGGUGACAAGUCGAGACGUGGAAUUUGACGAACAAGCCUCCUGGAAUUGGGAGACAGAAAGUGUUGAAAGGCGGACAACAACUACACUCCUAAAAGAAGUCACAGAACAUGGAGAACAAGAUCAACAAAGCCUACCAAGGUCCUUUUCAGAAGCCAAUACCUCAAGUGGAUCCGACUCAGACUUCUCACCAGACUUUCCACCUUUUCGGGUAAGAACUCUAGCAGAUUUAUAUGAAUCCACUGAUAUAUAUGAGACAUGCAACUUUUGUUCUUUGGAGCCAAGUAACUAUGCAG